rnacentral:rRNA from 1 species
GCGUGGAUGAUGAAGGCCCUAGGGUUGUAAAGUCCUUUUAACGGGGAAGAUAAUGACGGUACCCGUAGAAUAAGCCCCGGCUAACUUCGUGCCAGCAGCCGCGGUAAUACGAAGGGGGCUAGCGUUGCUCGGAAUUACUGGGCGUAAAGCGCACGUAGGCGGAUAGUUAAGUUGGGGGUGAAAUCCUGGAGCUCAACUCCAGAACUGCCUCCAAAACUGGCAAUCUUGAGUUCGGGAGAGGUGAGUGGAACUGCGAGUGUAGAGGUGAAAUUCGU